rnacentral:tRNA from 1 species
GGGGAUGUGGCUUAGUGGUAGAGCUCUCGCCUUGCAUGUGUGCGGUCCUGGGUUCGAUCCUCAGCACUACA